rnacentral:lncRNA from 1 species
AAUCCCUAGCUUCAUUAUGCCUGCAGAAUAAGAUUUUUUAAAACUAUUCAAUUAAUUAUGUAAGAUCAGCAAUUACAUAAGACCUAGAGGUGACCAAGUGUUUUGACCUUCUACAGUAAGAUGCUCUAACCAACUCAUCUGAACAGAAAUCUGGCAUGCAGGACAGCAAUCAACAGAGUACAACCCUAAUUUAGUGAAGACUGUAGGAAAAUAAUUA